CCUACGGGAGGCAGCAGUGGGGAAUAUUGGACAAUGGGCGCAAGCCUGAUCCAGCCAUGCCGCGUGUGUGAAGAAGGCCUUAUGGUUGUAAAGCACUUUAAGCGAGGAGGAGGCUACUGAAGUUAAUACCUUCAGAUAGUGGACGUUACUCGCAGAAUAAGCACCGGCUAACUCUGUGCCAGCAGCCGCGGUAAUACAGAGGGUGCAAGCGUUAAUCGGAUUUACUGGGCGUAAAGCGCGCGUAGGCGGCUAAUUAAGUCAAAUGUGAAAUCCCCGAGCUUAACUUGGGAAUUGCAUUCGAUACUGGUUAGCUAGAGUGUGGGAGAGGAUGGUAGAAUUCCAGGUGUAGCGGUGAAAUGCGUAGAGAUCUGGAGGAAUACCGAUGGCGAAGGCAGCCAUCUGGCCUAACACUGACGCUGAGGUGCGAAAGCAUGGGGAGCAAACAGGAUUAGAUACCCUGGUAGUCCAUGCCGUAAACGAUGUCUACUAGCCGUUGGGGCCUUUGAGGCUUUAGUGGCGCAGCUAACGCGAUAAGUAGACCGCCU
rnacentral:rRNA from 1 species